AAUGAAAUAGAAUGGGGUGUUCGUUACACGUCUUUUAUGAAACUCCCCUGCGUAGAAAUCGCCAUUGCGGUAAAACUCCAAACCUUCUUGAACAAUCUUCCUACUCUCCAAUUUCUCCGAUUCCGCAUCGCCGAUGAACCAUUGCACAGGCUUCGAACGCAAAAACCCUAACCUCUUCUCAUACUCAUCGCAGAUUUGCUUGAAGAAAUUGACAUUCCUGCUCACUAAACCCCUGUUUCUCGAGAGCAAAAACAUGAAAAUCCCGACGAAAAUUAAAGCUGAGAGUAGAUUCUCCGAGGUGGCUAAAUCGUCCGAAGUGAAGAAGGCGAAGAGCGCGUAGAGGAGGAAGGCGGCGGCCACAGGUGCCACCGCACCGGAGCGAACCGAAGGUGGAAGCGGCCUGCUGUGCGGCUUCUGCUCCUCGAGAUCCUCCGCGUCGUCUUGCUCACCGAAGACAAGCUGUGGAUGGAUGAGCGGAUGGUGGGAGAUGAGCGGAGGAGUGAGGAAUUCGUUCGAGUGAUCUUCGUCUGACCGUCCAUUUUAUGAUGAAAUUCGCUCUAGUUUCAUCCUCGCCCGUUGAUUUUUUUAUCCGCCGUCGAACUAAAGCAGCCUCGAAAGACGUAUUGUCAUUUGCUCUGGCACCGGUUUCAUUUCCGGUGACGGCACACGUGCAGAAUCAGCUGACCACUCCACGGCAAAUUGAUCUACCCGAACAGCAGUGAACGGUGGCGUGUGCGGGGCCGGGCCUGGGCGGCUGAACUCGUUGCGUCAGUCAGCGAGCAGCAGCAGCUCAACGAAGCGGAGAUGUCGGCGGCUGUGGUGCGAGCUGUGGCGGCGGUGUCCGCUGUCCGCGCGGAGACGGCGAUGUGAAUCUUCAAUUUAGAGAGAGAGACGGGAUGUCUGUGGUUUCCAAUUUGGGGGUUUUUCCUCAAUUUUGAGUUGGAAAUGAGAGUGAGGGACAGUACCGAGAGGUAGAAGAUAGCACUCCCUCCGUCCCCACGGUGGUUGUUUACGGCGGAGGAUGGGAGGAGAUGCUUACGCUUUGGUGGCGGCGUAGAGCGGGUUCGGGAGAAUUGCAUUAGAAGGUUUGCGAGGAUCGAUCUUGACUACUCUGGAAAUGGAGACUGUCCAAUGUGUAUAUCUCUGAACAAAGAGGAAGCCGAAAAGGAAAAUCCACAAAUGACUAGUUGCAACACCGCUCUGGAGAUUGAACGAACACCUGGGAGGAAGCCGUAACUAUUUCUUUUACUUGAAAUAUUCACAGUGCGUGUAAC